GAGUUUCAAAAGCUUUUCUUUUCUAAAAACAAUUUUGGGCUUUUUUCUCAAAAUGGCUUCUUCUUCUUUGCUCUGUUUUGGCCUUUGCUUUCUAGUUCUCUUCAACGCCUGCUUUGCUCAAAUAGAGCAGGUAACAGACAUAACUAGGGAAGGAAAGCAGCAAAGGCAACGGCAGCAACGCUUCCAAACCCAGUGCAAUAUCCAGAACCUCAACGCCCUUGAGCCCCGACAGAAGGUCGAAUCCGAAGCUGGCGUCACAGAGUUCUGGGACCAGAACAAUGAGCAAUUACAGUGCGCCAAUGUUGCCGUAUUUCGCCAACGUAUCCAGCAGAGAGGGCUGCUCGUGCCUGCGUACACCAACACUCCUGAGAUUUUCUAUGUUGUUCAAGGCAAGCAAGCAAGCAUAUCCUGUCUUCAAUAUAUAUUAAGUUAAAUUAUUUUAAUUGUUUUCUAAAUAACAAAGUUAGAAAUAAAUUAAUUAACAGGUAGAGGCAUUCAUGGAGUUGUAUUCCCCGGAUGUGCUGAGACUUUCCAAGAUUCACAACAACAGCAGUCGUUCCAGAGCAGUAAAUCCCAAGAUCAACACCAAAAGGUCAGACAACUACGUGAGGGUGAUGUCAUUGCAUUGCCUGCUGGAGCAGCUCAC
rnacentral:lncRNA from 1 species